UAAUUAUAGUUUCUACAAUUCGUCGUUAGCACGUAGUUUAUCCACGAAACAUAUAAAUCAUCGUUGAAUUCCACGAUGACGUCGAUAUAAAACUCCGGUUCCAGGUCUGAAGAGUGCACGCGCCACUUUCCCUGCGCUGCGGUAAACCCGUGAGAUCAGCCACUGUACACCGUGACGUCACCCCCAGUCUCGCGCUGUCUGCGGAGCUUGGAGCACGUGUGCAACGAGGUCGAGCCACAGUGACUAUCCAUAGUGGCCAUUAACACAAAGAAUCACCGUACACAUCAAGAGGAACACAAGUGGAAGAAAUCCUGAGCAGUAUAUGGGAACCUGAAGCCUUUCCCAGGAGACUUGGGGCACAAGGCAGGGUAUACCCUGGACAGGAUGCUAAUCUAUUGCAGGACACAAUCACCCACUAUGGAUGGUUUAAAGGGUGGGAGGACCACCAAGAAGAGGUAACCCCAAGGCAGAGGAAGAACAUGCAAACUCUACACACACAGCAGAGCCAGAAAUUGAACCCCAACCCUGGACGGGUGCAGAAAACAUGCUUACCAGCAGGCUAACAUGCCGCUCCAACACUGAAAAAACUUCAUGUGCUACUCCUGAACUCCCAGUGUUCCUGACAGUGUUCCCAGUGUCCUGCUCUCCAGACCCAAUUAUUGGUUGGAGUCCCAUCACCUGGAGGUGCUCGUUGCUGCUGAGGAUGGACCCACGUGGGCAGAGUGGAGAUACAUGGGAGUUCCGUGGAUAGUAUCAUUUGGAGAUCAUAUACGUGGCUUUGAACUGAUGUUGCCACUGUAGGUUUUUCACUUGGGUCCCUAUCAUUGAACAUUUUGAUGACUUAAACAAGAAGGAAUUCAUUUUACAUUUAGAAUAAUUUCACAAACUAUGCUGAGGAACUUAUAAGUUGCUCAAAAGCUCCCAAUUACACAACUCCACUUGACAUUUUACAGUUGUAGAAAUGUCAUUAUGUCUAAACACACUCUUUACUGUCACCCAUAUGAGGAUGGGUUCCCUUUUGAGUCUGGUUCCUCUCAAGGUCUCUCCUUCAUAGUGUUUUAUGGAGGCUUGCCCAUUUGGGAUAAAUAUACAUGUAAAUUUUAACUUUUAAAAUUUGUAAUUUUUAUUCUGAAAUUUCAUAUUCCUAUAAAUCUGCUCUGAGACAAUGUCCAUUGAUAAA